CCCAGGGAAAACAGUGUCUGUCCCCACGGAAAGAAGAAGGGCAGCUGGCAGGGCCACUUCUGCUGCAAAGGUGAUUUUACUAUGCAGCCACUAUUAAAAACCACAGAUGUCAUUGAUGAUGAUGAUGAUGAUGAUGAUGAUGAUGAUGAUGAUGAUCAUGAUCAUGAUCAUGAUGAUGGUGAUCAUGAUGAUGGUGAUGAAGACGGCAAUGACUGCAGAAUUUGGGGAAGAGGAAGCCUGAAGGAGUCCACAAAACAAUGUCCUUCAAAUCAGAGUUUAUUCAAUGCUGAUUUUUCAUUUUUCUAUGGUUCUGUUUGGGGACAAGUCAGUCAAAUAACUUGAACCUCAGCGUCCUCAUCUGCAGAAUGGGAAUAAUAACAGUUUGUAAAGUUAUCGUGAAGAUGACACAAAAUGCUGGAGACGUUGGACGUGCUCUAUAGAAAAUAAUUUCUAAACAAUAAAGAAUAUUAUAAUAAAC
rnacentral:lncRNA from 1 species